UACAAAUAUAUUAGAUAUUAACUUACAACUCCUCAUAAUUGGAGCCCUCUGUUUCAGGUUCCCAGUCAUGGUCAUCCACAUCACAUUUCUAAAAACCAAUCCUUGUCCAGGCAAGUUGUCAGGAUUGUGGGUAUAUAUUCAGGGCAGAAGACGAAUUUCUUCUUUUAAGGCUUGUGAAACAGUUGCGACAAAAGUCACAAUUGAGAGUUUUUUCUCCUUUUGCAGCCAUUUUAAUCUUAUUACGUAUACAUCUUGCCUUCCAAUAGGUAGGCAAAUUUACCUAGGUUACUUUUGAAACUUUUUAUCUACAUCUUUCAAACCACAACAAGGUAAGGUUCACAUUUUAACUUCUAAUGAAUGUUUUUAUCAUAUAUACAUCACUUUGUUUUCUUUUACAAACUCUCCCUAGUUAACCACUUGCCAUGUGAUUGUUCCUAAAUAUUUCAGAGAAAAAUGAGACAUAAAAGGGUUUGUCCAGAAACAGAAGCUUUGCAUUUCACUUCUUCUGGGAGGGAUAAAGACACAUUUUACAAAAGAUUCAUCAACAAGGAGAAAGAAAUGACUGACACUCACCUGAGUCACAUUCCAGAGGAAUUAUGCAUUGGUGAAAUGAUCCAGUCAGAGCAGAAAAAUGUUCCAGGAGAACAAACAGAACAACACCAUGAAGUAAAAAACCAAGGACAAGAUACACAUACAGACAUACUCUGUUCAUCACAUACCAGUACACAAACAACAGAUGAGAUGG